GGUGUAUAGAUAAUGUCCCUGCAGUCUCAUAGCUCAAUUAUCUGUCAUUUAGGAGUUAAAUCACUUUGUUUGUGCAGCCCUAGGCACACCUCCCUGCAUGUGACUUGCACAGCCUUCCUAAACACUUCCUGUAAAGAGUCAUCUAAUGUUUACACUUCCUUUAUUGUACAUUCUGUUAUAUUUAGAAUUUCUUGUAACCUGCUGUGUUAAAAGUCUGGUAGACACUGCAGAAGCCUAUUUCGUUUGAUGAAAGUUCAAUUAACAGAGCAGAUAGAUAACACACUUUGCUGCAAGAUCUGAUCUGAA